GGAAAUAUCCUGCAGUUUGUAUCGUUUUUUGUUCGAUGCAAAGAAAUGGACGUUAUGGGGAAAGUUAUGCAGGCUAGAUGGAUCGAUGCCAUUGAGACUAAUCUCUUGAAAUAUUCCCGGACACCUUGAUACCCAGGCCAUGACAUACAGUUCCUGUAAGUGCUGACAUACCGUCAAAGCAGUGACUUGUGCAACACCGAAUGGUGCAAUCACUUAUUUAUCAACUUUGAAUACAGGAUCAACAAACAGCAAAGUUCCUGGAUAAAAUCUACAUACUAGCAGUCUACGAGCCAAUAUCAACCAAGAUAAAUUUGUGCAUGUGAUGCAUUAAACAGUAUUGACUAUUAAUAACUGUUUAUUCAACCGUAAUAUUUUAAAAAACAUUUUCUGGAGUGACUGUUAAGUACAAUGCUCUACAUGUUGAUAUCUUCGGGAAUUAAGCACUCGUGUUUUUUUUUUAAAUUUUGAUAUCAUUUUCUUCAUUUAUUAUUAUAUUUUGCAAAUCUUAUAUGAAUAAAAUAAAACUUGUGUGUCAAAUAGUUUAGUAUAACUAAUAAAUGCACUACUGAU